AUUAAGUCUUUUGGGAAAUGUAGAAAACACCAAGUAUUAAAGGGCAAUUCAUCACAUUAACAUUCACUUGUUUCUCAAUAAUACACAGUUCUUUUACUUAUUGGUAGUUAAUAAUGCUUCAAUUAUAGUUAAAAUCAACGUCCAAGAUUAUAUGGUGUUUCUAUUGGCACCAUGGAUUUUGGCUACAGAAAGUUCCAUGUUAACUACCUCAAGAUAAGUAUUAAUCCACUGUGAUAUUGAGAGAACAUGUGAAAGUGUCUGCUUUACUCUUCAUAUUUCAUUUGUAAGAAAGAAGCAUCAUCAAUGUGUCUCUUGUUGCAGGUAUCAAAGAUGGCAACGUCUGCAGAAACAGAGGGAACGUCUUCGAGUGCGAGAAGAACGUUUUUUGGUUGACAUCUCACCUGAUCAAUUUCUCAGUGAUGACAACCAAUCAUCAAGUUCAUCUGAUCCAUCCCUCCACAGUGAUCGGUCAAAAGAAAAAAAGAUUGAUUUCAAAAAAUUAGAAAAAAGCAAGCGAAACAAGGGUUGUUUUCUGCAGAAACUGAGGAAACUCCUUCCAAGGCUAGAACAUCGUUUAUUCGCCGACCUCCCACCUGAUUGCUUUCUCAGUGAUGACGCCCAAUCAUCACGUCCAUCUGAUCCAUCUCUCCACAGUGAUGACGCCCAAUCAUCACGUCCAUCUGAUCCAUCUCUCCA